GGUGGGUGCAUUUACUAUGAAAGAGGUGAAUUACGGUUGGACAGACAUGUAGCGCAAAUGCCAGGUUUUGUUUACAUUUUUUGGGUUCACAACGUGUACAUUUGGCUCCGUCCUUAAGGGGUUAAUUCUUGUACUGGGUUCGGUAUGUACCGUGAGUAAGCGGAUGACUUCCAGCGCCCCAGUGUUUUGAUAACAUGAGUUGGGAUGUUAACACUGGAGGCUGUGGACGCGGCUCCUAUAAGAAAAGAGUGUCCUGAGUAUUUGUUUGCGUUGAGGCCCAGUUGUGUGAGCAAGGACCUGACGUAGGUCAUGAAGGUUGUAGUGGUGAGUACUGCACCUUGUAGUUGUAAUAACGGUUGCGAGGGCAGUAAGUGAUGGUGCUGUAUGUAGGCAUCAAGAACCUUGACGGGACACCAUCUGUUGUGCGUGGGAUAGUACGGAAUGUUUACAGGUAUGUGCUGACUGGUUUUGGAGUGAGGUAAAGACAGGAUGUAAUGAUCCAUAUGUUUUGUCAAGUGGGAAUAGAGGAGGAAUUGAGUGGUUUGGGUCGUGGAGGUCGUAGUGAAUUCUCUAGGUCGUAGAAAUCCGUAGAAAGCGAUGUAUAUUGCUGUUUUGAUGAUAGAAUUUGUAUUAGUGUCAAACGGUUUUAGGUCAAGUAGGUUAGCUAAUGCUUUGAAGAUAUGGUUAUCUAUGGGUAGCCUCUGGGCCAAAUGUGUGGGUUCUGAUUUUUGAAUACCUCUGAGUAUGGUCUUAAUUUGGUGAGAGGCCAUGAAACUGUUGUUAU